rnacentral:rRNA from 1 species
AUGGCCAUACCAUGCUGAAUACACACACCGGUUCUCGUCCGAUAACCGAAGUUAAGCAACAAUGGGCGUGGUUAGUACUUGGAUGGGUGAACGCUUGGGAACACCACGUGUUGUUG